rnacentral:lncRNA from 13 species
UGUCGAACUGCUUUGCUUUAUCUUGGCCAGAUCACAGUUGUAAAUGAGAACUUGUUCUCAACUAGCCUACCUGGAUAAAUAAAGGUUAUAUAAAUAAAAAAUUGAAAGUAGUCAGGCCUCUCUCACCUACGUCAACGGAGGAACCAGCCCUCUCUCACCUACGACAACGGAGGAACCAGCCCUCUCUCUCACCUACGUCAACGGAGGAACCAGCCCUCUCUCUCACCUACGUCAACGGAGGAACCAGCCCUCUCUCACUACGUCAACGGAGGAACCAGCCCUCUCUCACUACGUCAACGGAGGAACCAGCCCUCUCUCACCUACGACAACGGAGGAACCAGCCCUCUCUCACCUACGACAACGGAGGAACCAGCCCUCUCUCACCUACGACAACGGAGGAACC